rnacentral:rRNA from 1 species
UACAGAGGGUGCGAGCGUUGUUCGGAAUUAUUGGGCGUAAAGGGCGCGUAGGCGGUGCGGCAAGUCACCUGUGAAACCUCUGGGCUUAACCCAGAGCCUGCAGGCGAAACUGCCGUGCUGGAGUGUGGGAGAGGUGCGUGGAAUUCCCGGUGUAGCGGUGAAAUGCAUAGAUACCAUAAAGAACACCUAUUGCGAAGGCAGCUUACUAGGCUGUAACUGACGCUGAGGCACGAAAGCGUGGGGAUCGAACAGG